rnacentral:lncRNA from 1 species
UGCGAUAUAGCCAGGUAAGUUCGUAUGAACUAUUAUCAUUUAAUGGUUGAUUAAAUUGAAUGUUUAAUGUAUGUUUCCAUUAAAAAUGAAUCAAUAUAUAUGUUAUUAUGAAAUUUAUCAUGUAAAGAAACGCUGGAAAAUUCAACGAUGUAUGACGACUAUCGUGUCCCAUUUGAACCUUAGGAAUAUAUAGGAUACAAAUGACAUGUCAAUAGGGUUACCAUGUUUUGAAUGUUGGUCCUGAAUGUCCUCCCG